UACUACCUGAUUGGUCGGGUGUGAGC
rnacentral:piRNA from 1 species